CGGGUCCUGUGCAAUAAAGACACGCAAACCCCGUCAGGUCCGGAAGGAAGCAGCGGUAGCGAAUUCCUCUUUAUGUGCGCAGGGUUGCCCGG
rnacentral:SRP_RNA from 1 species